UGCCUUCAGGACGGGGAUAACGACUGGAAACGGUCGCUAACACCGGAUGUGCCGAGAGGUGAAAUAUUUAUAGCCUGAAGAUGAGCUCGCGUCUGAUUAGCUAGUUGGUGGGGUAAGGGCCUACCAAGGCGACGAUCAGUAGCUGGUCUGAGAGGAUGAUCAGCCACACUGGGACUGAGACACGGCCCAGACUCCUACGGGAGGCAGCAGUGGGGAAUUUUCCGCAAUGGG
rnacentral:rRNA from 1 species